GACAGAGGGUGCAAACGUUGUUCGGAAUUACUGGCGUAAAGCGCGUGUAGGCUGUUCGGAAAGUCGGGUGUGAAAGCCCCGGGCUCAACCCGGGAAGUGCACUCGAAACUCCCGAACUGGAGUCCUGGAGAGGAAGGCGGAAUUCUCGGUGUAGAGGUGAAAUUCGUAGAUAUCGAGAGGAACAUCGGUGGCGAAGGCGGCCUUCUGGACAGUGACUGACGCUGAGACGCGAAAGCGUGGGGAGCAAACAGG
rnacentral:rRNA from 1 species